rnacentral:rRNA from 1 species
UACGUAGGGGGCAAGCGUUGUCCGGAUUUAUUGGGCGUAAAGAGCGUGUAGGCGGCCAGAUAGGUCAGCUGUGAAAACUCGAGGCUCAACCUCGAGACGUCGGUUGAAACCAUCUGGCUAGAGUCCGGAAGAGGAGAGUGGAAUUCCCGGUGUAGCGGUGAAAUGCGCAGAUAUCAGGAGGAACACCGGUGGCGAAGGCGGGUCUCUGGGCAGUAACUGACGCUGAGGAGCGAAAGCGUGGGGAGCGAACAGG